UCUAACAAUCUACACAAUAUUACAAAAUAUACUAAAUAUUCUCUAGUCCCUGAAAUAUUUUCAAAUAUAAAAAAAAAAAAAAAAUGUUCCUCUGAACUCCAUGUUAAACGAAUCGUAAAAUUUGUUUUAUUCUCAUAAGACUCCAUGGGUUCACUAAUUUACAAUAGGUAUGUAAAAACAUAAAAAUCCUGAACCAAGUUGUAACGUUUGUAAGACAGAAACAGCACAUGGGGGUCUCACGUCUUCUAAAUUUCAAAUACAUAUUUACAAUUUGUUUCGUGGUUAAAAUAUUUCACUUUCAAAUCGUAUUAUAAACGCAACUCGAAAACGAUUAUAAAUUCAACCGUAUUUACCAUAUCAGUACAUUUGCCUGCGAUAUCAUAUUUAGUCACUUAAUACUUUGACUAUAAUAAACUUAUAUUUAUUACUUUUAUAAAAAAAAAAAGA